UACGAAGGGUGCAAGCGUUACUCGGAAUUACUGGGCGUAAAGCGUGCGUAGGUGGUUUGUUAAGUCUGCUGUGAAAGCCCCGGGCUCAACCUGGGAAUGGCAGUGGAUACUGGCAAGCUGGAGUGCGGUAGAGGGUAGUGGAAUUCCCGGUGUAGCGGUGAAAUGCGUAGAGAUCGGGAGGAACACCAGUGGCGAAGGCGACUACCUGGCCUGUUCUUGACGCUGAGGCGCGAAAGCUAGGGGAGCAAACGGG
rnacentral:rRNA from 1 species